CAAAUUGAGAGUUUGAUCCUGGCUCAGGAUGAACGCUGGCGGCGUGCCUAAUACAUGCAAGUCGAACGCUUUGUGGUUCAACUGAUUUGAAGAGCUUGCUCAGAUAUGACGAUGGACAUUGCAAAGAGUGGCGAACGGGUGAGUAACACGUGGGAAACCUACCUCUUAGCAGGGGAUAACAUUUGGAAACAGAUGCUAAUACCGUAUAACAAUGACAACCGCAUGGUUGUUAUUUAAAAGAUGGUUCUGCUAUCACUAAGAGAUGGUCCCGCGGUGCAUUAGCUAGUUGGUAAGGUAAUGGCUUACCAAGGCGAUGAUGCAUAGCCGAGUUGAGAGACUGAUCGGCCACAAUGGGACUGAGACACGGCCCAUACUCCUACGGGAGGCAGCAGUAGGGAAUCUUCCACAAUGGGCGAAAGCCUGAUGGAGCAACGCCGCGUGUGUGAUGAAGGGUUUCGGCUCGUAAAACACUGUUGUAAGAGAAGAAUGACAUUGAGAGUAACUGUUCAAUGUGUGACGGUAUCUUACCAGAAAGGAACGGCUAAAUACGUGCCAGCAGCCGCGGUAAUACGUAUGUUCCAAGCGUUAUCCGGAUUUAUUGGGCGUAAAGCGAGCGCAGACGGUUAUUUAAGUCUGAAGUGAAAGCCCUCAGCUCAACUGAGGAAUUGCUUUGGAAACUGGAUGACUUGAGUGCAGUAGAGGAAAGUGGAACUCCAUGUGUAGCGGUGAAAUGCGUAGAUAUAUGGAAGAACACCAGUGGCGAAGGCGGCUUUCUGGACUGUAACUGACGUUGAGGCUCGAAAGUGUGGGUAGCAAACAGGAUUAGAUACCCUGGUAGUCCACACCGUAAACGAUGAGUGCUAGGUGUUUGAGGGUUUCCGCCCUUAAGUGCCGCAGCUAACGCAUUAAGCACUCCGCCUGGGGAGUACGACCGCAAGGUUGAAACUCAAAGGAAUUGACGGGGACCCGCACAAGCGGUGGAGCAUGUGGUUUAAUUCGAAGCAACGCGAAGAACCUUACCAGGUCUUGACAUCCCUUGACAACUCCAGAGAUGGAGCGUUCCCUUCGGGGACAAGGUGACAGGUGGUGCAUGGUUGUCGUCAGCUCGUGUCGUGAGAUGUUGGGUUAAGUCCCGCAACGAGCGCAACCCUUAUUACUAGUUGCCAGCAUUCAGUUGGGCACUCUAGUGAGACUGCCGGUGACAAACCGGAGGAAGGUGGGGAUGACGUCAAAUCAUCAUGCCCCUUAUGACCUGGGCUACACACGUGCUACAAUGGCGUAUACAACGAGUUGCCAACCUGCGAGGGUGAGCUAAUCUCUUAAAGUACGUCUCAGUUCGGAUUGUAGGCUGCAACUCGCCUACAUGAAGUUGGAAUCGCUAGUAAUCGCGGAUCAGCACGCCGCGGUGAAUACGUUCCCGGGUCUUGUACACACCGCCCGUCACACCAUGAGAGUUUGUAACACCCAAAGCCGGUGGGGUAACCUUCGGGAGCCAGCCGUCUAAGGUGGGACAGAUGAUUAGGGUGAAGUCGUAACAAGGUAGCCGUAGGAGAACCUGCGGCUGGAUCACCUCCUUUCUAAGGAA
rnacentral:rRNA from 1 species